rnacentral:rRNA from 1 species
ACACGGAGGGCGCAAGCGUUGCUCGGAAUCACUGGGCGUAAAGCGGGUGUAGGCGGUCUAGCAAGGCAGAUGUGAAAGCCCACGGCUCAACCGUGGAAGUGCAUCUGAAACUGCUAGACUUGAGUGCCGGAGAGGGAAGUGGAAUUCCUGGUGUAGGGGUGAAAUCCGUAGAUAUCAGGAGGAACACCGGUGGCGAAGGCGACUUCCUGGACGGCCACUGACGCUGAGACCCGAAAGCGUGGGGAGCAAACAGGAUUAGAUACCCGGUAGUCC